ACGAACGCUGGCGGCAUGCCUAACACAUGCAAGUCGAACGAGACCUUCGGGUCUAGUGGCGCACGGGUGCGUAACGCGUGGGAACCUGCCCUUAGGUUCGGAAUAACUCCCCGAAAGGGGUGCUAAUACCGGAUAAUGUCUUCGGACCAAAGAUUUAUCGCCUUUGGAUGGGCCCGCGUUGGAUUAGCUAGUUGGUAGGGUAAAAGCCUACCAAGGCGACGAUCCAUAGCUGGUCUGAGAGGAUGAUCAGCCACACUGGGACUGAGACACGGCCCAGACUCCUACGGGAAGCAGCAGUGGGGAAUAUUGGACAAUGGGCGAAAGCCUGAUCCAGCAAUGCCGCGUGAGUGAUGAAGGCCUUAGGGUUGUAAAGCUUUUUUACCCGGGAUGAUAAUGACAGUACCGGGAGAAUAAGCUCCGGCUAACUCCGUG
rnacentral:rRNA from 1 species